GACGAACGCUGGCGGCGUGCUUAACACAUGCAAGUCGAACGGUGACCUCGAGAGCUUGCUCUUGAGUGAUCAGUGGCGAACGGGUGAGUAACACGUGAGUAACCUGCCCCAGACUCUGGAAUAACCCCGGGAAACCGGAGCUAAUACCGGAUACGAAGUGGAGCCGCAUGGCUACUACUUGGAAAGUUUUUCGGUCUGGGAUGGACUCGCGGCCUAUCAGCUAGUUGGUGAGGUAACGGCUCACCAAGGCGACGACGGGUAGCCGGCCUGAGAGGGCGACCGGCCACACUGGGACUGAGACACGGCCCAGACUCCUACGGGAGGCAGCAGUGGGGAAUAUUGCACAAUGGGCGAAAGCCUGAUGCAGCGACGCCGCGUGAGGGAUGACGGCCUUCGGGUUGUAAACCUCUUUCAGCAGGGAAGAAGCGAAAGUGACGGUACCUGCAGAAGAAGCACCGGCUAACUACGUGCCAGCCGCCGCCGUAACAC
rnacentral:rRNA from 1 species